CAAAAAUUAAAGAGAAUUAAAGAAAUAUAAAUAACAAAAAUUAAGGAAAAUCAAAGCUUUGGUCUUAAAAAAAUUAGGUUAACAAAAUCUGGGUCUCAAAUCACCGCUCCGAUCUUCAAAAUGAUACCGAUCCGAUCUACUGUAUCUUAAAUUAGUGUUUUGAUUGACUUCUCUAAUUACCACUCAAACCAAUAGUGCUCUGAUCGGCUGUUUUUCUGAUUAAUAGUGCUCUGGUCACUUUUGAUUGAACCCUAACUAUCUAUUGAAAUAGUCAAAAUCCAAGAAAGCUUGAUGCUUUGACUUACUGUAGUGACCAAUUACAUUGUUUUGAGUCUCUGAUAGACCUCCAAAGGCUAAAACCAUAAGUUGAGUUAACUGGUUUUGUCAUCCAGUUAACUAGCUAGGAAAUGUUCGACGAUUUAGGUGACCUAUUGCAUAUAAUUAAGGGUUUUUGAUUCGUUCUCCUUGCAUCCUGCUAGUGCUUCUGGGUGUCCAAAAUACAGAAGGAGAUGAAGAAAUUGACCUUACCUGAGAAAAUUUUUGAAUUAUUGAUAGAUGCUUUAAUAUCGAUCUUUUUGAUAUUGAAUUUAGUGAAACUUAUCGCCACUUGAACUUGAUAUUAUAUG